rnacentral:rRNA from 1 species
GACGAACGCUGGCGGCGUGCCUAAUACAUGCAAGUCGAGCGCUUGCAUAUUGAAAGCUUGCUUUCAAUAUGCUUGAGCGGCGGACGGGUGAGUAACACGUGGGCAACCUGCCUGUAAGACUGGGAUAACUUCGGGAAACCGGAGCUAAUACCGGAUAAUGCUUUUGAACACAUGUUCGAAAGCUGAAAGAUGGUUUCGGCUAUCACUUACAGAUGGGCCCGCGGCGCAUUAGCUAGUUGGUGAGGUAACGGCUCACCAAGGCGACGAUGCGUAGCCGACCUGAGAGGGUGAUCGGCCACACUGGGACUGAGACACGGCCCAGACUCCUACGGGAGGCAGCAGUAGGGAAUUUUCGCA